GGAAACGAAUGCUAAUACCGCAUAAGACCACAGUGUCGCAUGGCACAGGGGUCAAAGGAUUUAUCCGCUGAAAGAUGGGCUCGCGUCCGAUUAGCUAGAUGGUGAGGUAACGGCCCACCAUGGCGACGAUCGGUAGCCGGACUGAGAGGUUGAUCGGCCACAUUGGGACUGAGACACGGCCCAGACUCCUACGGGAGGCAGCAUG
rnacentral:rRNA from 1 species